ACGCGAUGCGCCGCACAUUGUCGAUGAUCCUUCUUUUCGUGAUCUACCGUCCAAGGUGCAACAUCUUUUACGGCGUGGGCUCGUAAAUAGCUCUAAAAGGCUCGAAUAUGGGCAACCAUGCAAAACUAUUUCGAAGAAGGAUGCGGCGGUGCAAUUGGCACGUUGAAGUGGUCAACACUUGAGAAAGAAUCCUGGCAUUGGUAACAUGUUCUGGCGUAACGCGACCUUGUCUCGUUUAUUAUGGAGGCAAAUGUGCGCAUCUGAAAAUGCCCUGCACCAAUCAAUCAAUCCUUGAAUAAUCCCGACAAACCCACCGCUAAGCAACUGAUUCAAUGCGCUUAAGUGAAUCCCGUGGCAAACGAUGUCGCUAAGGAGCAUCGUUUAUUGUCGUAGUCGAAUUGGACGGAAAAAGCAGGGAUCUAGCAAGUCUUCAUAGCCCACGACGUUAAAUCUAUCAGGUAGUACUGUGCCUGUUUUGGGCAGAAAGCGCGGCGAAUUGCUAUUUUACCGGCAAGCCUGCACUUGGUUGGCGAUGAUUCUGGUCUAGCUACCAACUUGCAGAUGCUAUCUUGAAGAUAUUCCGCAAGAUAAGGGAACUUUCUUGUGUUAAUCUCAAGCCAGCUAGAGGGAGAAAACCGUAUCCCGAUAUGCGAUCUGAUGAUUUAUACUGAUAAAUAAACAAGAGCAUGUCUGUAUGAAU